UGGUUUAUAGUUCAAGGGAACAGAACGCCUCAUUACGAAUGAGGAAAUGCGGGUUCGAAUCCUGCUAAACCAACAA
rnacentral:tRNA from 1 species